AAGAAUCCCAGUUGCUAACCUUUAUUCCUCUCUCGCUCUAGUCAAAAUUUGCAAUGCUUGUUACAAAUGUGCAGUUUUCCUUUUUCCUUUUUGUGAGGUUUUCAUGAGUCAUGAUAAAAUCUGACACAGUGUUGCAAUUGAAGUACACUUUUUGUUAUCAGUUAAUUCAUGCAUUAUUAUGAUGAAAUGUCAUGAGUAUAACAUAAUGCUUGCAAAAAUCAUAAAAUUUGAUGUAUUUUAUAU
rnacentral:misc_RNA from 1 species